CUCACGUCUAUGGAAUUGACAUUCAACCUCAUAUCUAAGUCCUUUCUUUUACAUAUUGAAUCACCCCCUCAUAUUCUCCGGAGCAGAGCAUCCACCUAAUGGAAGCAAGCUUGGGGGCUUCUCCAUUUAGUGGCACCAGAUAUAAUGUCCCAGGAAGGUCAAGUGUUUCAACCCAGCCACACGUGAGCAGUAGAGAGUCACGAAAAUGCAAAAAUAAUGGAAAGAUGGGAGCUGAUGAGAGUGGGGGAGGCGACACUGCACAAAGAACUAGGCAGUAUAACACAGGCUCAUUCACCCUGAAAAAGCAAGAUGUGAUGAAAGGUUUGGUGCCACUCAGUUCCAGAGUAAACAAAUGCCCGGACGAGGCAUGGCCCUAUAAGAAAACCUCAGCACUGCAAUAUAGUGAACAGACAGCUGCAGGCAGUCAGAAGGACUGGACAGAAAUGCUGAAAAUGAAGUCGUUUUAUGGAAAUGGGGACAGACCCAGUGCCUCUAAUCUACCAUGACAAUCUCAUGCUAACCUCGUACUGGCUUUUAGGUUUAUCAACCAACCAACAGAAGUUUCUCAGAAGCAAUCACUUUACAUCAAAUCAAAUUCAAACAUUUUGGCAGCUCUGUUAAAUUGUCACUGUGUCCUCCAGGAUGUUAAGCCAGAGGAUGUCUGAGAAGGUACCAUCAAGUUCACCUGGCACCAAAAAAGACAAAGAACACCUUUGGGUUAAUAUGAAAAUAAGCUGUAAGUUGAUUUCUGCAGAGGAAGGAGAGAGUCCUGAGCUGACUCCCACUCCAGAUUUUUUCUCCUCUUCGCCUCCACAUCCAGAGACCACUCAACCUGGCCUUGGAGCCUAGCACUCAACACUAUCUUUGUUAUUUAUCUAAUAAAGGUGGCCUAAGA